rnacentral:rRNA from 1 species
UACGUAGGGGGCAAGCGUUGUCCGGAAUCAUUGGGCGUAAAGCGCGUGUAGGCGGCUCGGUAAGUCCGCUCUGAAAGUCCAGGGCUCAACCCUGGGAUGCGGGUGGAUACUGCCGGGCUCGAGUCCGGAAGAGGCGAGUGGAAUUCCCGGUGUAGCGGUGAAAUGCGCAGAUAUCGGGAGGAACACCAAUGGCGAAGGCAGCUCGCUGGGACGUGACUGACGCUGAGACGCGAAAGCGUGGGG